rnacentral:ncRNA from 2 species
UAUAACUCUCUGGGGUGGUUUAGCAAUAAACCUGAGAUCAUACCCAUACUACCUGAUCUGGGUAAUGCCAGCGCAGGGAUGAGAGAAAAAGGUUCAG